rnacentral:lncRNA from 12 species
UUUGGGUCUAUUCAACAGGAACAGUGGCAGCUCUGGAUUUAAUGACUUUGCUCUUAAAUGUAUGUCAAAAACAUAGAAGAGGGAAUAAUUUUGCAAGCCCAGAAGCUGAAUACAAA